rnacentral:rRNA from 1 species
GUGAACGCUGGCGGUAGGCCUAACACAUGCAAGUCGCACGGCAGCACAGUAAGAGCUUGCUCUUACGGGUGGCGAGUGGCGGACGGGUGAGGAAUACAUCGGAAUCUACUUUUUCGUGGGGGAUAACGUAGGGAAACUUACGCUAAUACCGCAUACGACCUACGGGUGGAAGCAGGGGAUCUUCGGACCUUGCGCGAUUGAAUGAGCCGAUGUCGGAUUAGCUAGUUGGCGGGGUAAAGGCCCACCAAGGCGACGAUCCGUAGCUGGUCUGAGAGGAUGAUCAGCCACAAUGGAACUGAGACACGGUCCAGACUCCUACGGGAGGCAGCAGUGGGGAAUAUUGGACAAUGGGCGCAAGCCUGAUCCAGCCAUACCGCGUGGGUGAAGAAGGCCUUCGGGUUGUAAAGCCCUUUUGUUGGGAAAGAAAAGCAGCAGGUUAAUACCCCGCUGUUCUGACGGUACCCAAAGAAUAAGCACCGGCUAACUUCGU